GGAUGGGUGGAGGGAUGCUGGAGGAGAGGGAUGCUGGAGGAAAGAAGGAUGCCUGCAUCCGAGAUUGUUAGACAUCCAUUUGAUCCCCAAGUUUCUCUCAGGGUGCGCCCAUGAAAACUGGUGCUCCUCUGAAGUGGGUUCUCCUGUUAGUGGAGGAGGCAGCUGAUUGGACAAGGCGAGGACCCUGUUAGCCACUUUAGACAGUCAUGGUUGGUUCUGAAGAGAUGACUAAGGGUAAGAAACUGUUUCUUUUCUCCUUAAGAUUGUAUUUGUGUGGGGUUGGGGAUUUGGCUCAGUGGUAGAGCGCUUAUCUAGGAAGCGCAAGGUCCUGGGUUCGGUCCCCAGCCCCGGAAAAAAAAAAGAAAAAAAAAGAUUGUAUUUAUGCAUUUGGGUGCCACUGGAAGUUGGGAGAGGAUGCUGGAUGGCUGGAGCUGGAGUUACAGGUAGUUGUGGGCUGCCUAGAGUGGGUGCUGGGAACUGUACUCAGGUCUUCGAUGAGCAAGAGCUCUUAAUCACGGAGCCAUUUCUCCUGGAAAAUGCUUCUAGGAAUAGGUAUGCAUUAGGUAAGAUGGCUAGGAAGUAAAAUGAAUCAUGCAGACAAAAGGCAAGGAGUAGUUAGGGAGAGAAAGCGCAAGUGUAAAGGUCCUGAGGCAAGAGUCUGCUGGGUUAUGUCUUAGCAACACUGAAGAGGCCAGGGUAUAUAGAUAUGAGUAAGCAAAGAGGAAGGCCAGAAAGCAGCUGUGUUGGGCUUUAUAUGUAACAGUCACCAUGUCUUUGCUUUAUGUCUCGUAUUCUGUAAUUAUCGGUUUUCAUCUGUAUUAAAAAUAUAUAUGUUUGCCAGGCAGUGGUGGCACCUGCCUUUAAUCCCAGCACUCGGGAGGUAGAGGCAGGUAGAUUCUGAUGAGUUCAAGGCCAGCCUGGUAUACAGAGCUAGUUCCAGGACAGCCAUGACUACACGAAAAACAAAAAAUAUAUAGUUUAAAAAAAAUUUCAUACAUGUAUAUAAUGUAUUCUGGUUACUCUCCCCACAUCUAUAAUUUAUUAUUUGUGUGUGUGUGUGUGUGUGUGUGUGUGUGCGCGCGCAGAUGUGUGUUCACACGCGUGCAUAAUGCUUGUAGAGAACAAAGAUCAACCUCUAGUUGGUUCUAGUGUCAUUCCUCAGGAGCUUUCCACCUUGGGCUUUUGGUUUUGGUAGUUUUUUGAAAUAGGAUUUCUCUGUGUAGCCAUGGCUGUCCUGGAACCCACUAUUUGACCAGGCUGGAAUCAAGAUACACCAGGAUGUUCUAGAUCUAACUGAGAGCAGAGCAUAUUCUUUAAACUCAGCCCCCCCAGCCAAAAAAAAUCCCUAACUGAAUCUCAUGUUCUAAUUUUCUUUGGGUAUAUAAGGUCACAUAUUCAUAGGUUCUGAGGAUUAGAACAAUAAUGUAUAUGUAUACAUGUAUGGGUCUAUGUACGAUGUAUAUAUGUAUAAUGAUAUAUGAUGCCACAUAAUAUAAGUGUACAUAUAGCAUAUUUAUAUGUAUAUAUAAUAUUAAACAUAUGCACCA